UACGUAGGUGGCAAGCGUUGUUCGGAAUUAUUGGGCGUAAAGGGCGCGUAGGCGGUUUGUUAAGUCGGUCGUGAAAGCCCGGGGCUCAACCCCGGAGGGUCGCCGAUACUGGCAGACUAGAGUACAGAAGAGGUAACUGGAAUUCCCGGUGUAGCGGUGAAAUGCGCAGAUAUCAGGAGGAACACCAAUUGCGAAGGCAGCUCGCUGGGACGUUACUGACGCUGAGACGCGAAAAGCGUGGGGGAGCAAACAGG
rnacentral:rRNA from 1 species